rnacentral:rRNA from 1 species
CAAUUGGAAACAGUUGCUAAGACUGGAUAGGAAAUUAAGAGGCAUCUUUUAAUUUUUAAAAGACCUUUUUCGAAAGGUAUGCUUAAAGAGGGGCUUGCGCCACAUUAGUUAGUUGGUAAGGUAAAGGCUUACCAAGACGAUGAUGUGUAGCUGGACUGAGAGGUUGAACAGCCACAUUGGGACUGAGACACGGCCCAAACUCCUACGGGAGGCAGCAGUAAGGAAUUUUUGGCAAUGGAGGAAACUCUGACCGAGCGACGCCGCGUGAACAAUGAAGUACUUCGGUAUGUAAAGUUCUUUUAUUGAAAAAGAAAAAAUAGUGGAAAAACUAUCUUGACAUUAUUCAAUGAAUAAGCCCCGGCUAAUUAUGUGCCAGCAGCCGCGGUAAUACAUAAGGGGCGAGCGUUAUCCGGAAUUAUUGGGCGUAAAGGGUGCGUAGGCGGUUUGAUAAGUCUAUAGUUUAAAUGCAGCGCUUAACGCUGUAGCGCUAUAGAAACUGUCUGACUAGAGUUAGAUAGAGGCAAGCGGAAUUCCAUGUGUAGCGGUAAAAUGCGUAAAUAUAUGGAGGAACACCAGAGGCGUAGGCGGCUUGCUGGGUCUUAACUGACGCUGAGGCACGAAAGCGUGGGGAGCAAACAGGAUUAGAUACCCUGGUAGUCCACGCCGUAAACGAUGAGUACUAAGUGUCGGGUUUCGGCUCGGUACUGAAGUUAACACAUUAAGUACUCCGCCUGAGUAGUACGUACGCAAGUAUGAAACUUAAAGGAAUUGACGGGACCCCGCACAAGCGGUGGAUCAUGUUGUUUAAUUCGAAGAUACACGAAAAACCUUACCAGGUCUUGACAUAAUUUUGCGACAUUAUAGAAAUAUAAUGAAGGUUAUCAGAAUUACAGGUGGUGCAUGGUUGUCGUCAGCUCGUGUCGUGAGAUGUUAGGUUAAGUCCUAAAACGAGCGCAACCCUUGUCGUUAGUUGCGACCACGUAAUGGUGAGCACUUUAGCGAGACUGCCAAUGAAAAAUUGGAGGAAGGUGAGGAUUACGUCAAAUCAUCAUGCCCCUUAUGAUCUGGGCUACAAACGUGAUACAAUGGCUGUUACAAAGAGUAGCUACAACGUGAGUUUUUAGCCAAUCUCAAAAAAACAGUCUCAGUUCGGAUUGAAGUCUGCAACUCGACUUCAUGAAGUUGGAAUCGCUAGUAAUCGCGAAUCAGCAUGUCGCGGUGAAUACGUUCUCGGGGUUUGUACACACCGCCCGUCAAACCACGAAAGUUGAUAAUACCCGAAAGCGGUC